GUGCUUGCUUCAACAGCGCAUAUACUAAAAUUGGAAUGAUACAGAGAAGAUUAGCAUGGCCCCUGUGCAAGGAUAACACAUAAAAUAAGCUCAGAGUAGAGCCUUGCU
ensembl:snRNA U6 U6 spliceosomal RNA